UCACUUACCUGGACGGGGUCAAUGGGUGAUCAAGAAGGCCCAUGGUCUAGGGUUGUGACCUCCAUUGCACUUGGGAGGGGUGCUUCCCUAAGGUCUGCCCAAGUGGUGGAACCUACGUCAUAAUUUGUGGCAGUGGGGGCCUGCGUUCGCGCGGCCCCUUCCAUAUUUAGUUUAACACUUCAUUAUUCUGUUGGGCUUUGGGGUUUGCUUAUUAUUAUUCUUGUGUAAUUACUUAUCUUUUAAAAAUUUAAUAAUGUUUAGGUUUGUCCGUUUUUUUUAUUUGAGUGUGGUUAACUUAGCUAGACCGCCUUUGAAACCAUUGAUCGCAUUUGACCCG